rnacentral:tRNA from 1 species
AGCAGCGUGGCUCAGUGGAAAGAGCACGGGCUUGGGAGCCAGAGGUCAUGGGUUCGAAUCCCGGCCCCGCCA